ACUGCUAACCGAGCUAUCGCCUUUGGAAACAGGGGAGGAAAGUCUGGACAGCAUAGAGCAAUUUACCGGUGAAUAGCCGGCUGCUGCGCAAGCGGUAAGAGACAGUGCCACAGAAAAUAACUAUCUGCUACUGCAGAAAAAGGUGAAAAUGUGAGGUAAGAGCUCACAGUAUUUGUAAGUAAUUACCAAUACGGGUAAACCUUAAAUGCUGAAAUGCCAUGUAUAGGAUUGGUUUGAGAGCUGCUCGUUCAAUUCCGCCUUAUAGGUGGAAGCCAUCCAGGGUAGGCAGAAACAGGUGUUUAGUAAUGAACAUCGCAGAUAAAUGAUAGCCUUAGAACAAAAUCCGGCUUAUGAGUUAGUAGUGAAG
rnacentral:RNase_P_RNA from 1 species